rnacentral:lncRNA from 1 species
ACCUGGCAUACUUCCAUAAACAAAUAGGUCUCCUGUGGGUUUGCAACAGCUGAGGAGAGUUUUGAGGGACCACAGGGAUCUCAGGGCAGAAAGUGCAAUAUCAACAGAUGAAAUCUAAAAGACAGCCAAAGAGAAAGCUGCUCUUCCAGAUGGAUCUGCUUUAUAGAUACUUCCCAGACUCUUCAUCUUCAGUGGAAUUUUUUCACUGGACUCUUACUGAAUUAAAAACUUCUUGAGGAGAACUGUGCAUGAAAAACGUGCCUUGUGGUCUGCUUGUUAAUAGAAAUGUUUUGGUAAAACACUGUAAAUUAUUAGCUUCAGAUUUGAUGUUGGAGAU